rnacentral:rRNA from 1 species
CCUACGGGGGGCUGCAGUGGGGAAUAUUGCACAAUGGGGGAAACCCUGAUGCAGCGACGCCGCGUGAGUGAUGAAGUAUUUCGGUAUGUAAAGCUCUAUCAGCAAGGAAGAUAAUGACGGUACUUGACUAAGAAGCCCCGGCUAACUACGUGCCAGCAGCCGCGGUAAUACGUAGGGGGCAAGCGUUAUCCGGAUUUACUGGGUGUAAAGGGAGCGUAGACGGUAUGGUAAGUCAGAUGUGAAAGCCCAGGGCUUAACCCUGGAACUGCAUUUGAAACUAUCAAACUAGAGUGUCGGAGAGGUAAGUGGAAUUCCUAGUGUAGCGGUGAAAUGCGUAGAUAUUAGGAGGAACACCAGUGGCGAAGGCGGCUUACUGGACGAUAACUGACGUUGAGGCUCGAAAGCGUGGGGAGCAAACAGGAUUAGAUACCCCAGUAGUC